CCUACGGGAGGCAGCAGUGGGGGAUAUUGCACAAUGGGGGGAACCCUGAUGCAGCGACGCCGCGUGGGUGAAGAAGCGCCUCGGCGCGUAAAGCCCUGUCAGCAGGGAAGAAAAUGACGGUACCUGAAGAAGAAGCCCCGGCUAACUACGUGCCAGCAGCCGCGGGAAUACGUAGGGGGCAAGCGUUAUCCGGAUUUACUGGGUGUAAAGGGGGCGCAGACGGCGAGGCAAGCCUGGAGUGAAAGCCCGGGGCCCAACCCCGGGACUGCUCUUGGAACUGCGUGGCUGGAGUGGAGGAGGGGCAGGCGGAAGUCCCGGUGUAGCGGUGAAAUGCGUAGAUAUCAGGAGGAACACCGGUGGCGAAGGCAGCCUGCUGGACUGCAACUGACGUUGAGGCCCGAAAGCGUGGGGAGCAAACAGGAUUAGAUACCCUGGUAGUC
rnacentral:rRNA from 1 species